GGGUAGACAAAAUAAUGUAAAAUUAGAAUAAAACUGUCCAUGAAGCAAGAGCCAGAUAAACCCUUGAUAUGGAAAUUGCGCCACUGAGCACAAACAACGGUCAAAUCGCUGUGGUCACCACAGAUAUCUGCACGUGACGGAGAUGACUAAAACUUGAAAAACGGGUCUUUCAAAGGAACCAAUGGGAGCCAACUAGGAGAGCUUCCAGUGAUCAACAGUGAGAACAUUUGAGGAGGAAAUAACGUGAUGUUGGAGGAUCAGGGUGUAAAACAAACACCUGUGAAUCUGCUGAUACACGCAUGUGGCUGAAUGAGUUAACAGAGAAGAAGGAAGAAACCUCCCAUGCAGAAUUUCAAAUAGUUGCUGUAGAGUCUGUGAAGACACAGGAGCACAGGACUCUGACCCUUGUUAUGGGCUGUGGUUGCUUCCUUCCAAAGAGCACAUUAUAGAAACAGGAGGAAAGAGCACCUUGGUUGUGAUGAAAGCGGCAGAAUCUCCCAGAGCCAGGGCAAGUGAACAAUGA
rnacentral:lncRNA from 1 species